rnacentral:tRNA from 1 species
UCCAGCGUAGCUCAGUCGGUAGAGCGCCUGACUGUUAAUCAGGUGGUCGCAGGUUCGAGUCCUGUCGCUGGAGCAA